rnacentral:rRNA from 1 species
GUAGUCCAUGCCGUAAACGGUGGGCGCUAGGUGUGGGUUUCCUUCCACGGGAUCCGUGCCGUAGCUAACGCAUUAAGCGCCCCGCCUGGGGAGUACGGCCGCAAGGCUAAAACUCAAAGGAAUUGACGGGGGCCCGCACAAGCGGCGGAGCAUGUGGAUUAAUUCGAUGCAACGCGAAGAACCUUACCUGGGCUUGACAUAUACAGGAUCGCGCCAGAGAUGGUGUUUCCCUUGUGGCUUGUAUACAGGUGGUGCAUGGUUGUCGUCAGCUCGUGUCGUGAGAUGUUGGGUUAAGUCCCGCAACGAGCGCAACCCUUGUCUUAUGUUGCCAGCACGUUGUGGUGGGGACUCGUAAGAAACUGCCGGGGUUAACUCGGA